rnacentral:rRNA from 1 species
CCAGGGAGGUGGGCAACUACCACCCAGGUGCCGGAAAGUUGUACGAACUCGGUCGUUUAGAGGAAGUAAAAGUCGUAACAAGGUCUCCGUUGGUGAACCAGCGGAGGGAUCAUU